UCCUGUAUCCGAAAGUGACCAUGGGCUGUCUGUGCCCCAGUCAUUGAUAGUACAGGGACAGGAAUCACAGAAAGCAUUUUCCCCGUGUUCAGAGGGUCACCCUAUCCCUUUUGAACCCUGAAGCUUUCACAUA